rnacentral:rRNA from 1 species
UACGUAGGGUCCAAGCGUUGUCCGGAUUUAUUGGGCGUAAAGAGCUCGUAGGCGGCUCGGUAAGUCGGAUGUGAAAACUCCAGGCUCAACCUGGAGACGCCAUUCGAUACUGCUGUGGCUUGAGUCUGGUAGGGGAGCACGGAAUUCCUGGUGUAGCGGUGAAAUGCGCAGAUAUCAGGAGGAACACCGGUGGCGAAGGCGGUGCUCUGGGCCAGUACUGACGCUGAUGCGCGAAAGCCAGGGGAGCGAACGGG